AGUGAACGCUGGCGGUAGGCCUAACACAUGCAAGUCGAACGGCAGCACAGGAGAGCUUGCUCUCUGGGUGGCGAGUGGCGGACGGGUGAGGAAUACAUCGGAAUCUACCUUUUCGUGGGGGAUAACGUAGGGAAACUUACGCUAAUACCGCAUACGACCUACGGGUGAAAGUGGGGGACCGCAAGGCCUCACGCGAUUAGAUGAGCCGAUGUCCGAUUAGCUAGUUGGCGGGGUAAUGGCCCACCAAGGCGACGAUCGGUAGCUGGUCUGAGAGGAUGAUCAGCCACACUGGAACUGAGACACGGUCCAGACUCCUACGGGAGACAGCAGUGGGGAAUAUUGGACAAUGGGCGCAAGCCUGAUUCAGCCAUACCGUGUGGGUGAAGAAGGCCUUCGGGUUGUAAAGCCCUUUUGUUGGGAAAGAAAUCCUGUCGAUUAAUACUCGGUGGGGAUGACGGUACCCAAAGAAUAAGCACCGGCUAACUUCGUGCCAGCCGCCGCCGUAACAC
rnacentral:rRNA from 1 species